UUAUAAGUCGUCCGAUGCAAUCAUCAGAGAGAAGCGCUUGACAGAUAGAAUAGGGGGAAGUGGUAGGAAGCGACACACUUUUUCUUAAUCUAUUUUUCAUCUCAUUGAAAAAUCUAUUUUGCAUCUAUACGGCUGUAGUACUAUUCAUCCCUUUCCCCAUUCUUAUUCUCCUCCCAUUCCUUUUUCUCUGUUCAUGUCCUAAUUGUUACUCCCUUCUCUGUUCAUCUAUUUUGGUACGGAGGGAGUAGAUCCUGCCAACAAAAGAGGAAGAUAAGAGAAGUGGGAUUUGGAGCGGAGUGCGGUGGCUGCAGGCUCCCGACGGCGGCAGGUCGUCCAGCUCGACCACACGUUCCUGCUGCUCACCGCCGUCGUUGAUUGGAUGGCCAUGGAGUUGGGUCCACUUGAACCUGAGCGGUGGCACUCCUCCAGGUAAUCGCUCCUCUUCCUCUCCUUCUCCUUCCAUCCCAGAUCUUGGUCUCCUAACCUCCAGCAAUGGCAUGGAUUCUUUAUGGCGAUUUGCUAUGGCUAUGAGAAGGAGAUGCUUAUGGUCUCCUGACCUUUCUCCGGUGUAGAAAUUUUCUGUUGGAGAGAAGGAUUUUGCGCCCCCAAGCAGCAAGGCUGCGAGGCAAAGCGGUCCCCGGGGAGGCCACUGAAUAAAAUGAGAGUUUUGUUUCCCUGAGUGGCAUUGCUCUCUUGUUCGUGGCACUGGCCGAGAGUUGUGGCGUCGGGUUGGAAGCUCAUGUUCUUCAUAGUGUUCUAGUAUAUAACUUAUAGAUAUGUGACUUGCCAUUGGUGUGCCUUGCGUUGUUUUAGGGAAUUUAACCUCUAUUUUUUUAGUUGACAUUCUACCCAACUUUGAUUGUUGUCUCUUCAACACGUCCGUACUAAUUAUACGAAUUUUCCUAUAGCAAAAAGUGUUCGAUAUUUGUUGGAUAAAAGGUGUAUUAUUUCUAUUUAUUGUUACCAUAUAUUAGCAAGUUAUAUUAAUAAAGGUGUACCUAAGACAAAUGAAGAAGGCUUGCAUGUAUUAACUGAAUUUGGCUCAUAUGUGUUAAUUGUUAUGCAAUAGAUUUUAGUUUUUUUCACAUGUGUUGUAGAAGAUGCCUAUAACACUGAAGAUUUUCUCAUUGCUCUCUUCAACUGAAAAGGCUGUAGGAUAGAAGGGUUGUUUCCAAGAACAUAAAACUCACAAAAGUGCAUGUAUGAAUGUAUUUUGAAUGAUUACAAUUUGACAUGCAUCUCAUAGUACUGACUUUUGACCCUUAUCUAAUAAUUGUCCCCCUUAGACUAAUCCAUGUCAAGCAUUAUUUCUCUAUCUCAGUGAACAUAAAUGGUUGGCGUGGUGCUUCUCAGAUCCUCCCAUCCAAUAAGUUUAGCAAUUUUUACAUACCACUGUUAUUAGUGCAGAAUACAUAUAAUAUGAAAGUUCUCAUUCAAAUUAGCAAAUAUGCUUACCAGGUGUUAUGAUUUCUAGAUAUGUACCACAAUUUUCUCAGUAAGACUUUCCACUUUCCUUUUGUAGUUAGUUUGUGUCAAUCAGAAUUGGAAAACAAAAGCAUAAAAAAAUCACCCAAAAACUUAAAAGUUAGCAUCCCGAAGAAGUUGAUAGACUAAUAAUUCAGAUAUGAUGAUUCUAUUAUAACUGAUAUGACUCCAUUGUUAGAAAAGCACUACAGGUCUGAGAGUCUCGUUUUCCUCAAGAACUGGUGAUAUCAUAUCAUAGAAGAAGUUUGAUCCAUCGCCUGACUUGUCUGAUUUUUAUGCCUCAUUCCAGUGAGAGGCAACUCAGAAGACCUGUCCUGACUUCAUCGGGCAUUGAGAUGCAGUCACAUCAGAGUUUUGGCAUUUUUUGUCUUCAAUUUUGUUGUGGUGCUUUAGUCGGAUAGCAGAUUUGUUCUGUAGUCUUCGAUUCUGUUGGUGAUUCUCUUGCCGGGUAGCAGAUUCUGGAAGACAACCUGAUUCAGGUGAGAGGCAACUCAGAAGACCUGUCCUGACUUCAUCGGGCAUUGAGAUGCAGUCACAUCGGAGUUUUGGCAUUUUUUGGCUUCAAUUUUGUUGUGGUGCUUUAGUCAGAUAGCAGAUUUGUUCUGUAGUCUUCGAUUCUGUUGGUGAUUCUCUUGCCGGGUAGCAGAUUCUGGAAGACAACCUGAUUCAGGUGAGAGGCAACUCAGAAGACCUGUCCUGACAUCAUCGGGCAUUGAGAUGCAGUCACAUCGGAGUUUUGGCAUUUUUUGUCUUCAAUUUUGUUGUGGUGCUUUAGUCAGAUAGCAGAUUUGUUCUGUAGUCUUCAAUUCUGAUGGUGAUGCUCUUGCCGGGUAGCAGAUUCUGGAAGACUUCAAUUUUCUCGAUGGUGCUCUGAUCGGGUAGCAGAUUUAAAGACAUUGAUUUGUCCAGAAUUGGUUGAUUCAACUCUUGGGGUUGGAUGUGGGGCUGGGUGCCUUUCUGAUUCGUUGGCUUGGCCGAUCCAUGUAGAGUUUCUCUUUAUCAAGACUUCAUGUGAAAUUUCCUUUCAUGAAGACUCCAUGUGGAGAGUCCGACUGUAGUUAUCCUUGUUUUUUUCCCUUUCAUGAAGAGUCCACGGCUGUAGUUACCCUUGUUUUCUUUUGGCAUGCACGUGCCUAGUUUGGAAUUAGAUGCACGUGAGGUUAUGUAUCUUCUAUGACGUGAUUACGGUUGGACGACUCUAAAUCUUAGGCGUAUUUUUUCCGGACUA